UACGGAGGGUGCAAGCGUUAUCCGGAUUUAUUGGGUUUAAAGGGUGCGCAGGCUGUUAUUUAAGUCAGUUGUGAAAUCCUAAUGCUUAACAUUAGAACUGCAAUUGAUACUGAUUAACUUGAGUAUAAAUUAGGUAAGCGUAAUUUAUAGUGUAGCGGUGAAAUGCAUAGAUACUAUAAGGAAGACCGAUAGCGAAAGCAGCUUACUGAUUUUUUACUGACGCUCAGGCACGAAAGCGUGGGUAGCAAACAGG
rnacentral:rRNA from 1 species